GUGGGCAUCAUUUAGAAUUAUGUAGUUACUGUUGGUAUAUACUGGUAGUUAUAAAUCAGAGUAUUUUUGUGCUUAUUUGUAGGAUAUUCCUCUUCUGUAUGGUGCCUUACUGAGUUAGACUCAGGCUUAGUAUGUGCAGAUGAAAUCAUAGAUCAGUGACCUCUACUGCUGCCAAAAACUAUUACGCUGAGGGUAUUUAAUUGGAAGGAGGUCUUUCACUGGAAUUAAUACAAAUGUAAACUGUACUGAGAGCAAUAGGCAGAAUGAAUGUUAUUCCAGAGGCAUUAAAGAAUUAUCAAAUUUGAAGGAAAAAGUUGUUCACCAUUCAGCUGACAGGCUUGGAACAUAUAGAAUCAGAGAUACAAUAAAUGAUGAUGCAUCCGGUAAGCAUAUUGUAUGGGACCUAAAGCAAAGUAACAUGGGAAGAUAAGGAGGUGUUAGAAUUUGAGAAUGAAGCCCUAAAAGAUGAUAAUAAACAGGUUCAUGUGGUAAUGGCAAUGUGUGUGUGCGUGUGUGUGUUUGUGAUAUGGAAUAUGGAAUAAGAAACUUAUUGCUUGAUUCAUUCUUGAAUUUGAGCCUUUGUAAUUUGUUAAAGAGAAACUGAGAGUGUAUAUAAGCUUAAUAUAGAAUUUACUUCAUGCCAACAACUUAGAUCUUGAGCUUUGAAUUUUAGAGAAAUAGUUUUGUGUUAUUAUCUGAAAUUUAUGAUCCUAUGAAUAAUUUAAAAUAAAAAUGGAAUGAAAUUAUUCUCAUGUAUCAAAAUAGGUACCUUGAAGUGAUUAUAAAAUGAGUGGUAUGGGGCCAUAUGAAAAACACUACACUUGAUGGAAGAGCAGAAUGGAGUAAGAAAGACAAUGGUUGAUUUUGCCUAGUCAUGAUUUUAACCUGUUAGAACUUGAGGUCUAGCAACUCUAAGAUAGCAGAAGUUGAUAUAAGAAGUAACAAACCCAGGAAAGCCACAGUGGAGGCAGAUGCUGCAAAAGCAUUGCAGUGAACAAACAUAUUUCAAAAGAGGGCACUGCCCUUUACUCUUUGUUGUAUGUUGCAAGCAUCCACGUAAUUCUAAACAAGUGGGAGUAACAGAAAAAUACAGUCGUUUGCUUGCUUUUGUCAGCUUUUUUCUCCCCAUUAAUUCUUUCUAAGAUGCACAUCUGAACUUUACAUCAGGUCAUUGCUCAGCUAAAGCAAGAGCUUCUUGUAAUAAUGAUGCCUUGAUUUGCCCUUUGCACCAUUCUUAAUGAGCAAUUACUCACAGGGAUUUUUCUGGGAAAGACAGAGCAAAGGGACUUGGGGAAUAUUGGUAAGUGAAGCUUUAUCAGUGGAAUAACACUUUUAUGUAACUAAAAAUACAUUAACAAGUAUUAUAGUCUUAAAACUAUGUCUCUGUUCCAUAAUGUCUGUUCUCUGCUGUUUUGUUUCAGUGUAUGGAAAUAAAUGGGGGAAAAAGGGAUAUUGUAUUUAGUUUUCCAGGGCUGCCAUGACAAAACACUACAAACUGUGCUGUAGUGUGUUUGUUUUUCACAAUUGUGGAAGCUAGAAAUCCGAGAUCAAAUUGCCAACAAGUUUGGUUUCUCCUGAGGCUUCUCUCUAUAGCUUGUACAUGGCCUUCCUCUUGCAACAUUUUCGCAUCGUCCUCCUGCUUUGCACUUUUGUCCUCAGUGUCUCUUCCUCUGCUUCUAAGGACACCAGCCAUAUUGGAUUAGUGCCCCACUCUAAUGGUCUCAUUUUAAUUCAGUCACCUCUUUAAAGGUCCUAUAUCUAAAUGUGGUUACAUUCUAGGAUACUGAGAGCUGGGACUUCAACAUAGAAUUUA